CAGCUUGCUGCGGGUACUCGAGUGGCGAACGGGUGAGUAACACGUGGGUGAUCUGCCUUGCACUUCGGGAUAAGCUUGGGAAACUGGGUCUAAUACCGGAUAGGACAGCUGUUUAGUGUCAGUUGUGGAAAGUUUUUUCGGUGCAAGAUGAGCUCGCGGCCUAUCAGCUUGUUGGUGGGGUAAUGGCCUACCAAGGCGUCGACGGGUAGCCGGCCUGAGAGGGUGUACGGCCACAUUGGGACUGAGAUACGGCCCAGACUCCUACGGGAGGCAGCAGUGGGGAAUAUUGCACAAUGGGCGGAAGCCUGAUGCAGCGACGCCGCUGGGGGAUGAAGGCCUUCGGGUUGUAAACUCCUUUCGACAGGGACGAAGCGUAAGUGACGGUACCUGUAUAAGAAGCACCGGCUAACUACGUGCCAGCAGCCGCGGUAAUACGUAGGGUGCGAGCGUUGUCCGGAAUUACUGGGCGUAAAGAGCUCGUAGGUGGUUUGUCGCGUCGUCUGUGAAAUUCCGGGGCUUAACUCCGGGCGUGCAGGCGAUACGGGCUGACUUGAGUGCUGUAGGGGAGACUGGAAUUCCUGGUGUAACCGGUGAAAUGCGCAGAUAUCAGGAGGAACACCGAUGGCGAAGGCAGGUCUCUGGGCAGUAACUGACGCUGAGGAGCCGAAAGCAUGGGUAGCGAACUAGGAUUAGAUACCCUGGUAGUCCAUGCCCGUAAACGGUGGGCGCUAGGUGUAGGGGGCUUCCACGUCUUCUGUGCCGUAGCUAAACGUCAUAAGCGUCCCCGUCUCGGGGAUACGCCGUCAAGGCUA
rnacentral:rRNA from 1 species